rnacentral:rRNA from 1 species
AGAGUUUGAUCCUGGCUCAGAUUGAACGCUGGCGGCAUGCCUAACACAUGCAAGUCGAACGGUAACAGCGGGAGCUUGCUCCCGGCUGACGAGUGGCGGACGGGUGAGUAAUGCAUAGGAAUCUGCCCAGUAGCGGGGGACAACCUGGUGAAAACCAGGCUAAUACCGCGUACGCCCUACGGGGGAAAGCAGGGGAUCUUCGGACCUUGCACUAUUGGAUGAGCCUAUGUCUGAUUAGCUUGUUGGUAGGGUAACGGCCUACCAAGGUGACGAUCAGUAGCUGGUUUGAGAGGAUGAUCAGCCACACUGGGACUGAGACACGGCCCAGACUCCUACGGGAGGCAGCAGUGGGGAAUAUUGGACAAUGGGCGCAAGCCUGAUCCAGCAAUGCCGCGUGUGUGAAGAAGGCCUGCGGGUUGUAAAGCACUUUCAGUAGGGACGAAACACCCGGGGGUUAAUACCUCCCGGGCUUGACAUAACCUACAGAAGAAGCACCGGCUAACUCCGUGCCAGCAGCCGCGGUAAUACGGAGGGUGCGAGCGUUAAUCGGAAUUACUGGGCGUAAAGCGCGCGUAGGCGGCUUUGUAAGUCGGAUGUGAAAGCCCUGGGCUUAACCUGGGAAUUGCAUUCGAUACUGCAUGGCUAGAGUAUGGUAGAGGGUAGUGGAAUUCCUGGUGUAGCGGUGAAAUGCGUAGAUAUCAGGAGGAACAUCAGUGGCGAAAGCGGCUACCUGGACCAAUACUGACGCUGAUGUGC